UAGGAGUUGCAAGAUCUGGAAAGGGCCGC
rnacentral:piRNA from 1 species